rnacentral:piRNA from 1 species
CAACAUUAAAUACGAAAGAAUCAAA